AGUGAACGCUGACGGUAGGCCUAACACAUGCAAGUCGAACUGCAGCACAGAGGAGCUUGCUCCUUGGGUGGCGAGUGGCGGACGGGUGAGGAAUACAUCGGAAUCUACUCUGUCGUGGGGGAUAACGUAGGGAAACUUACGCUAAUACCGCAUACGACCUACGGGUGAAAGCAGGGGAUCUUCGGACCUUGCGCGAUUGAAUGAGCCGAUGUCGGAUUAGCUAGUUGGCGGGGUAAAGGCCCACCAAGGCGACGAUCCGUAGCUGGUCUGAGAGGAUGAUCAGCCACACUGGAACUGAGACACGGUCCAGACUCCUACGGGGGGCAGCAGUGGGGAAUAUUGGACAAUGGGCGCAAGCCUGAUCCAGCCAUACCGCGUGGGUGAAGAAGGCCUUCGGGUUGUAAAGCCCUUUUGUUGGGAAAGAAAUCCAUCUGGUUAAUACCCGGGUGGGAUGACGGUACCCAAAGAAUAAGCACCGGCUAACUUCGUGCCAGCCGCCGCAGUAA
rnacentral:rRNA from 1 species